rnacentral:misc_RNA from 1 species
GGAAAGUAAGAAAUAGAAGAGGAAACCCCUACAAACUGGAAACAAAAGACUGAAAUGAGCUGCCUGCCCCCCUCUGCAAAAAGAAAAAAGAGAAUACACGUGAGGAAUGGCUGUUACCAUUACUUAAUGGUAAAUAGUGGUUGUUAUUGCUAUGUAAUGGUGGUAACGACCACUACCGAUGCAACUUAGCAUUUGCCUUUAAAUAACAAGGUAAAGGGUAACGGCUGCUUGAAAAACCUGUAAAUAACAUCCGUUAUUUGCAGCUUGGCGCCCCGCAAAUUUAUUUAAAAAAUUUGCAAAGUUGAUGAAAUGAGUAGAUAUUGGUAGAUACAAGUAAAAAAUAAGUUGCAUAACUAUAUAAUAAGCAUAAAU